rnacentral:tRNA from 1 species
GGGAAUAUGGGGUAGCUUGGCUUAUCCUUCCGGCUUUGGGAGCCGGGGACCCCGGUUCGAAUCCGGGUAUUCCCA